CUGUGGAGCAGGGCAGUGGCCGCCAGACCUCGCUCCUCCUGCGCGACGAUUGGCCCCGGCGCCGGGCUGCGACCACCCUCCAGGCUCGGCCGGUGCUGCUGGAACUGGUGGAAGCGGCUGGGCAGCUGCCCGGCCGGGCUGGCCCGCACCUUUUUCUUCCGCCGCUUCUUGGGCGCCGCCCGCGGGGCAGCCGCCGGGGCCAAGGUGCAGCCGGACGGCGCGGUGGUGCGAGGCGCGGGCGCCAGGCACGGCCCGUCCCCCCCGAGGAAGUGCGGCAGGAAGAGGGUGGGUGGCAGCGCGCGCGGGUCCGGAAGGCGCGGCAAGGGCGGCGGGGCCGGGUUCACCAUCGGGAGGGCCCCGAGGAACCCGAGCGGCGCUAAGCGGCCGCUCAGAGCGAGAUCUCGCUGUGGGACGGAGACGACGGUCAUGGCGCGGGGACUCGGCAGAAAGGCGGGGAGCAGGAGUCACGGGGCGGCGGCGGAGGCUGCUGCUGGAAGGUUCGGAGCAAGGACCAUGACUCGGGCGAGGCGGCGCAGCAACAAAUAGCGCUGGCCACCGCGGCCAGUGUUGUUACCCGAGGCCCCGCCCCGUGCCCGCCCACCUCCCUGCGGCGGCCCAAUCCGCGUGCGCCUGCCAGGCCACUCCCUCGGUCCCGCCUCCGCGCCCCGAGGCAAGACACAAACAAGCAGCCUGCUGCAGCCCUUCACAAAGAGCGCACGUUGCGCAGGCGCGCCCAACGGGCUCUUACCGAGAGUGUCCCGUGAACAAUGAAGUUCGACUUCUGCCUCACCUCCCUGGCAGCGAUCCUUUGGGGUAGCCUGGGGGUGGGGCAGGGGAGGAGGAGGAGAGAGGCGGUGGAGGAACUAGGAAGCUUCUGACCUCCAGAAAGGACUGCUUUGUAGGUUUUCGAUUUCAGCCCUACAUAAAAAUUUUAAGAGAUUUCGGAGAACACUAAGGAUUUAUUUCACUAAGGAUUUACAGCACUGGUGAAGAUCUGCCUCCAUUUAACCUACAGUGAAAUUUGGCUAUGUGGUUUCUCAUUCGGUUUUCCGACGCUGCCAAUUAACCCUGGUGGUGAAAAUAAAAAAGGGUUUACUGAAGGAUUCUUCAGCUCAUC
rnacentral:lncRNA from 1 species